rnacentral:rRNA from 1 species
AACGAACGCUGGCGGCAUGCCUAACACAUGCAAGUCGAACGAGACCUUCGGGUCUAGUGGCGCACGGGUGCGUAACGCGUGGGAACCUGCCCUUAGGUUCGGAAUAACUCCCCGAAAGGGGUGCUAAUACCGGAUAAUGUCUUCGGACCAAAGAUUUAUCGCCUUUGGAUGGGCCCGCGUUGGAUUAGCUAGUUGGUAGGGUAAAAGCCUACCAAGGCGACGAUCCAUAGCUGGUCCGAGAGGAUGAUCAGCCACACUGGGACUGAGACACGGCCCAGGCUCCUACGGGAGGCAGCAGUGGGGAAUAUUGGACAAUGGGCGAAAGCCUGAUCCAGCAAUGCCGCGUGAGUGAUGAAGGCCUUAGGGUUGUAAAGCUCUUUUACCCGGGAUGAUAAUGACAGUACCGGGAGAAUAAGCUCCGGCUAACUCCGUG